CUCACGUAUUUCCUCAGUCAUGUGGUCCUCACAAGGCAAAUGGGAUGGAUGCCUGGAUCUCAUUGGACGGUUGCAAAAAUUUCAACAUUCGGACUAUAGGCGAAGGAUGAUCAAAACUUCAGAGCAGCACACUGUGUCUCAAGAGGAUUAGACACUCAUAAGAUCGCCAAUAGUUGUCUCCCAGCGGAGCAAGCAAAAAACACUGAUAGUGGCUGACAAGGAUCCUAUCACAGGAGUCCAAUCAUCCCUAUGUCCUACCUGCCUUUCUCUGCUGCAAGGAGACAAUACACAGAGGGUGUGUGUUUGAAAUGGCUUCUGUGAGAAAGAACGAAGAACACCUUUCCAAAGAGUGACUCUGAAGCAUAAAUGUGAGAUAACAAUGGCUUGAGGCUGUGUGGAAAUAAAAUCCGAGCUGAAGUCACCAUUCAGUAAGAUGGCGGCUGAUCUGUUUUAAAUUCCACAUUCCCAUCAACACACAAUAACUUUCGGCAGUUCAUGAAGUGCCUGUAGAGGGAGCAAUCAGUGGAGCGAUGUAAAGUGUUGUUCUAGGGUAGGCUGUGUAGAAGAAUGCAAUGCCAAUGAGAAAGUGGGGCUUGGCACUUGCAAGUGUUAUACACUUACCUUUCUCAACUUCUUAAGAUCAUCUUGGUGCAUAGUCGUCCAUAUUCCUGCUGCUGACUUCCUUCGCCACUUCAAUCCUAACUAUUUGAUCGGGAUGCUAUCCUCUGCUGACUGCCCUUGGGAGCACUCAACUCACUGCAGCGUCUCAGAUACGGGAGAACCUCCAGGAAUGGCAUGAACAUAACAAGGAAGCAAAAUAUUUACAGGACAGUCGGCUUAAAACUUGAAGCAGGCCCUGCCCACAAUACUGACCAAGUCAGUGGUUUCCACUAAUUGUUCGCACAUGCAGACUUUGUCAGAAACUCAAAUCAAAAUAUUUUUGUUCGUUCCGGGUCACUAAUAGGUAUAUUUGAAAAGUUUUGAAAGCAACUUUUGAAGAGAACUUCUAAAAUGCUGCCUAAUUGCACUGGCUUUACAUUCAGCAGUACACAAAUAAGUUUCAGCAGAAAUCAAAGAAAGGAAUUACUCUGAACUGGUGCAACUUUGGACACAAUUUAAACCUAAAUCACCAACUGUGGCUAAGUGGAAACUCGUGUGAGGAAAGCUUUUACAUCAGUCAUCUAAAUGCAUAAACAUAGCAAAUUGCUUGGGUGAGUGGAAAAGAGCAGGUCAUGUUCACUUUGGUCUUUCAUAGUACAACAUGAUCUUACCAAUGUGCAUGUAAAUAUUCCAAGAUUCUGUACUGGAAGUCAUUAGUAGUCACUUGCCCUUUCCAAGAGUGUCUGCUUUGGUAACGUUUGAAUAAACUUUUAUGCACAUAAUCGCCCAACGUCAUUUAUGAUGGCGGGUUAUAACUAAAUGAUGUUAUGUCUCACACUAUUUGUCAAUAUGUCUUUAAAAUGUUUGCUUAUCACUUUAUCACUGCCUGUGACCUGAGGUCUCACAUUCGAUCCGAGCUUAAACACCUGAAGCAUGACACACUGAUGGAAACACGUUAUGUUUGGUAGCCAA